GAUGAACGCUAGCGGCAGGCCUAAUACAUGCAAGUCGAACGGUAACAUGAGUAGCAAUACUUGAUGACGAGUGGCGCACGGGUGCGUAACGCGUAUGCAAUCUACCUUUAACCGGUGAAUAGCCCGAAGAAAUUCGGAUUAAUACACCAUAGUAUGUUUGAGGGGCAUCACUUAAACAUUAAAGUUCCGACCGUUAAAGAUUAGCAUGCGUAACAUUAGCUAGUUGGUAAGGUAACGGCUUACAAAGGCAACGAUGACUAGGGGAUCUGAGAGGAUUAACCCCCAAACUGGUACUGAGACAGGGACCAGACUCCUACGGGAGGCAGCAGUAAGGAAUAUUGGACAAUGGUGGCAACACUGAUCCAGCCAUGCCGCGUGAAGGAUGAAGGCCCUAUGGGUUGUAAACUUCUUUUGUACGGGAAAAAACCUUCUUACGUGUAAGAAGCUGAUUGUACCGUAAGAAUAAGGAUCGGCUAACUCCGUGCCAGCCGCCGCGGUAAAAC
rnacentral:rRNA from 1 species